CCUGCGGUUGUUUUAUUGUUCUUCUCUUAAGAUAGGGGGCCUUCUUGUCCGCCUCCCCUCCCCUCCCCUCCUCCUGCUCUCGCUCCUGGGGCUAGGGGCGGCACGGCAGAGGAGGCACAAAGGCUAGCUAGCGGGCCGAGGGGCCGAUCUUUACCGCGUUCUCUCAACCUUUCUCCGUCUCCUAUGCCCACAGGUGCGCGGGCUCCGAGGCUAUUACACGUAGUUGUUGACACCGAAGAAGCCCUUGGCCUACUGUCUCUUGUACACGAGUUUCACAAUGGCUCUGUGACAGUUCCGGUUCUCGUACCGGGAAGAUCAACUCUUGUUUUGACGGCGACGACAACGUAGCAGUGGGUGUGGUUACCACCGUCUCUAGUUCCUACUUCGCAGACGGAGUCGGUUUCUUCCUUUUGCUCAUCGGCUCCUUCUCCGCGGCUUCGGUGGGUCGUUGGCGACGGACAGCACGGCCUUCUUCCAGCCCGACUGCCCCAAGUUCACGGCGACGCCUCUGUGGAAGACGAGCUACGUGGCGAUGCGGCUGCGCGUGCUAACGUUCAAGCUGAUGUUCGUCCGGCCGUCCCUCGUCUAGCGGGUCGUCUUGGGCCAGCAGUUCCGACUGUUCCAGUGGUCUAAGACUACCUCCAAGACGACGUCCUCGGGAGGUCGAGCAAAUAAGGGAGAUACUACUACUACUACUACGAACCAGGCAGUCCAAAUGAAGUCUUAACACACAGAUGGUAGGAGGACCUUACAUGAAACGGCUACUUGGGCGGAAGCUGUUUGUGGUGGUUGGCUACAGGCAGGCUGCCGGUAGUUGCCCGGUAACGCGGCCCGACCGGCGCGGAAGUUCCCGACAUAUUACAACCACAAACACACCCUCCUUGUAAGUAACCGUGUCCACGUGAAGACAAAUAAAUGUAUACUUAUUACGCUUACAUUUAUAAAUAGGAAAUUGUCAUACGUCAAGUUGGCUAAUUGGACAAUAUACGAGUUCCGAACCGUCCAAAGGCACCAGUGGACAAUCACAUUUAGUAACAUGUAAAGCCACACAACACACAAGUUUAGUCGUUUAUGAACCACGUAAAAUAUGAUACUCAACCUCUCCCUAUAACAUCUUUUCUAGUUGAUCAUGAUCAAACCACGUGUCUAGUGAC
rnacentral:rRNA from 1 species